UGUGCCCUUGCAAAUUGCUUUUGAGGAUGGAUGUAGACACUGCCCUUCGGUAUUCACUGAACCAUUUCUCAGGUCCUGGUGGUUGGGACUUCACGAGGAGUUUAAAGGCAAGGGAUCAUGGGGGAAAUCCCUUUUUCUCUGUUCCAUUUUAGUUCUUUCCUCCCUCUGCACACUGUUCAGAUCCUCUGCCCUGACCCUGAGAGCCAGAAGCCAAGCAUCAGGAGCAGGAAAUGCAGUGAGCCUUGAGAACUGGACUCCUGUCGAUGAUUCCAAGUGAAUGUAAGGAAAUCAGUGUCCCGACAUGGUUUUGUGGUGAUGACACCACAUACCCCAAAGCACAGAGCUCAGAAGGUGCAGAAUGCACCCGAGUGCCACUGCAGUGCCCACAAAUGACCAGGGACGCGGAGGGAAGUUCCUGAGGAGUUCCAUUGUUGAAGAUGAAUCUGGUUCCAGAGACUACUCAAGGAACUUGCAAGGAAGAUCCUGUCAGCAUUUGGAAUGGGAAUGGAAUCUCAAAAGCUUGGCAUGAGAAACAGCUGAAGGCGCCAGUCUUCCAGGCCAAAGAUUCUGGUCACAGAGUCCCAAUUCAACUUUUUCCCUCGAGGCAAACUUCAAAGUAUGCAGAAAUCAAAAACUCAUAGAAUGAAAAUAAACCGAGGGUGUGAUGCCUCACUAAGCUGGGACUUGCUUGAAACUCGUUUUGUCUGCUCUGCGUCCAGAAUGGCCUCAUGGUACUCAGUGGAGGGACAGAACAGGUUUCCCGGUAUUGAACUGACACUAUUCCCUCUACAAGGGCCUUGUUCAGUUUGAUUGCUCUAACUUUGCAGAUGAAGAAACAUAGAAACAUUGUUAGUUGUUUUCCUUCCUUGUUGGUAAUUCAUAGUUUUACUUUAUUUUACUUUUUUUUACAACAGGCUUUUGGGACAAUAUGCAAUUACGUCUUACAAUCAAGUUCUUUAAUGAUUGAGAAACCCUGGUAGGGGUCAGAGAGAACAACAUCUCAAAGCACAGUAUUCAGAGUUAUGGCUUUUUUUUUUUGAUACUGUUUUUGUAGGUGAGGUAUGAGCUAAUCAAAGAACUUCAUUGAAGGACAUAGAUUAAAACUCUUUAGGAAUUAAUUUAGUCAUUAGGCUCCAUGGACGGAAUAAAAAUGGCACCAGGGGUUUGGAGUCUUGAAUUUCUCUUGUUCUCAUGUGUUCUUGGCGUUGGUGAAUUUCUUCCCUGUAGUGAAUUGCUCACUUCGGGGUUCUGGUCAUGGUAAGAGAAGCGUGGUACCCUCAAACUGGCUAAGGGUCUUGUUAACGCAUCAGUGCACACAUUCAGAGAUCCAUGCCCGGCCCUGGUGGCUACUGCGUUGGGCCAUUCUCACUCCUUUUGCAUGUGCAGAGAAUGCGUUUGUGUGGAUUUCGUAACAUUAUUCUGCGAUGCAGAUUCAGCUAGUCAGUUUAGAAUGAUUAUCA